AGGAGGAGGAGAUGAGAGUGGUAGGUUGUUGAAGCCUUGUGAAUUGUGGUUGAAACUGAAAGUGACGAAAGGAGGAGUUGAGACUUCAGACAUCGCGGAGAGGAGAGAGGAAGCACAGCGAUAGUCGUAACACAGCAUCCUUGAAGAUUAGACAGAGAGUUAAAACAAAAUUGAUUUAAAUUUUUUUUAUCGACACGAUAAAUUCUAUUCCAUACUGGAGGAGAGAGAUGAAUCUAAAGAGGUCCACAGAAAAUUCGAGGAAAAAAUGGAGAGAAAAAUGCAAGGCAUUGAAUUUGAUUUAAUUGAGUUGGUUCAAAAUUGAUUUAAGUAGGCAAGGACAUUUUUUUGGCAUCUUCGACGGAGAGCAGCAGCUGGCAGAAUGUAUUGUUUCACGGAAUUAAUGUUCCAAGGACCAGUCUUGGCAUCUACGACAAAGAGCAGCUGCCAGAAUUUAGUAUUUCAGGGCAUGUUUAUGGGCGUUCGUGCAGAGAUAAUAAAGUCCUGAGUGACUGGUUCAGAUUCUGAUUCAUUUCCUCAUAUUCAUAUUCAUGGAGGGGACAGCUAUAAAGCUAUGAAGUCAGUUUUCAUGCAUAGGUACGUACGUGCGUGGCAGCUAAUUCCAUUAUUGUCGAGGGAGGGGCCUGACCGCCUGAGUAUUCCAUCGCACGCUGAUUCAGCAAAACGACAGGGCGCGAAAUAUGAACCAGCUAAGGAGAGCAAGGAAUUUGGCUAUGUUUCAGCAUAGACACGUCUCAGCUGUGGACAUACUUUCUCUGUGUUGGCUUCUGCGAGGGAUGUGGUAGCAGGUUAGAGGAAGAUCCCUUUGACUAGAACCAGCUGUGAAUUGGCUUUGGAGCUUGGCUUGCCUCAUGUGUGUUUUAAUUCUUGAUUAUUUGUGUACUGAAAUAGUGAUUAGUACUGCCAGGUUGUGUGUUAUGUAGGCCCUAUUUAGCGAGUGAAUUUUUUGUAUGUUUAUAUAAAAUUUUAUCAUAUCUUAUUGUAAAAUUUGUAAAAAAAAAAAAAAAAAACUUUUUUAGAUGUG